rnacentral:lncRNA from 1 species
GGGCCGGCGGCGGCCAGGGAGGUCGGAGUGCGCGGGGCUCGGCACCCCCUCGGCCCGCGCUGCGCCAGCACCACCUGCGGAGCUGCGGUGCCCACGCCGUGCCGCGACCCCGCCGCCCCUGCUCCCUCCACACGCGGGCAAACAAAACAAGUUGCCGGUCGCUGCCGCCGGAGGGGGCCGGGCGGGUCACUCACCCUCAUCCUGCUCAGCGGGCUUGGGUCGUCCGGCCGCGGGGUCAGGGAAGACCAGAGGACCACUAGCCCCAGGAAGCUUCCCACCACCAGCAAACUGCGUGGUGAAUUUGUAACCGAAAGGCCCAGGUGAGAUGUGCAAAUAUCACUGGAUUGGAGGAGCUCACUUGGAAAGCCAGUAUUCCUCCUGAGCUAAUGAAAAGAAAGGCUGUCGUCUUAUGCCAAAAGCAAUACCAACCUUGUUCACGGGCUGAGAUCUAGAGUGUGUAAUUCACGAAGUAUGAAUCUGCUGGGUAAUGUGAUAUGAAAAGCGAAUGCACCAUUUCUUGGUGAUGAUUCAGGUCAGCGUUGGGACCCAGGAAUCUCCUGUUAAUCAGUACCCUGGUGAUUUUGAUCCAGGUCAUCAAGACCAUGGCUUCCAUCGUAGGCAGUCACACUCUUUCUCUCUUGGAUCAUUUGCUGUGGGGAAGCAAACUGUCAUAUGAGAGGACACUCAAACAGCCUCUGGAGUCUCAUUUGCUAAGGAACUGAGGACUCCAGCCUGAGAACUCAGGCAAGUAACUGAGGCCUGCCAACAACCAUGGAGAAAGCCUGGAAGUGGAUCCUCCCUCAGCCUUCAGUCGAGACAACAGCUGCAAUGACAGCCAAGCCAGCGCCACCCAGCUUAGCCACCCCCAGAGAACUAACUCUCAGAAACCAUGUAAGAUAAUACAUGUUUGUUGUUUUAAGCUGCUAAGUUUUGGGGUAAUUUAUUAUACAAUAGAUAAUUAAAACACAUAGCAUAUAAAUAAAAUCAAUAAAACCAGUAUGGGUCAGUAAUGAGUAAAUUAGAUAAUUAGACAAAUUUUGACAUUUCUGUUUCUAUGUUAAUUAUUUUUCUUCAGAAAAAUUCUCUACGGGUAAAAUAUGUUAAGAGUGGUUACCAACGGACAUUUUAAAAUUAAUAAUCAGUUUGGGAGGCCAAGGCGGUUGGAUUGCUUUAACUCAGGAGUUUGAGGCCAACCUGGGCAACAUGACAAAACCCUGUCUCUACAAAAAAUACAAAAAUUAGCCAGGCAUGGUCGUGUGUGCCUGUAGUCCCAGCUACUUGGGAAGCUGAGGUGGGAGGAUCAAUUGAGCCUGGGAGGCCAGGCUGCAGUGAGUCAAAAUCAUACCAUCUCAAUCCAGCCUGAGCAACAGAGUGAGACCCUAUCUAAAAUAUAUACAUGUAUAUUAACAAUUAUCUCUUGAAACUAAAGUAUAAUCACAGUACUAGUGUACUAUUUUCCAUUUUAUUAAAUGCACUAAACAGUAUUGCAAUGUGUUUGUGUUUAUUAAAAAAUAUUUUGGAAAUCUUUGGGAGAAAAGCUACUUCAAAUUAGUCUGAAAACUAUCAUUUCCUUCUAGCAAUGUGUAAUAAUGUAAUGACUGCUUAGAAUUUCCUGAGAGGGACUGUAACAUAUAUUUUAAGCAUAAUAUUGUAAACAAACAAGUUCUUUUGCAGUACUUGAAGAUCUUUUUUUGUGACUAUCCCCCUUAUAUAUUAUGAAGAUACAUUUUUUGUGACUAUCCUCUUUAUAUGUAUUGUGAAGAUAAGGUUUUUUAUAGUGAAUAUCCUCCUAAUGCUACUAGUAUUGUUUGCAAUCUGUCAUUAUUCUUAGUGUAAAAUUAAACUUCAACAGAGUACCUGUGUGAA